AUUGAACGCUGGCGGCAGGCCUAACACAUGCAAGUCGAGCGAGCGGCGGACGGGUGAGUAAUGAAUGGGGAUGUGCCCGAUAGAUGGGGAUAACUACUGGGAACGGUGGCUAAUACCGCAUACUAUAGGAUGAACCCAUAUGGGAUUAGCUAGUAGGUGGGGUAAAGGCUCACCAAGGCGACGAUCUCUAGCUGGUCUGAGAGGAUGAGCAGCCACACUGGGACUGAGACACGGCCCAGACUCCUACGGGAGGCAGCAGUGGGGAAUAUUGGACAAUGGGCGCAAGCCUGAUGCAGCCAUGCCGCGUGUAUGAAGAAGGUCUUAGGGUUGUAAAGCACUUUCAGCGGGGAGGCGUUACCCGCAGAAGAAGCACCGGCUAACUCCGUGCCAGCAGCCGCGGUAAUAC
rnacentral:rRNA from 1 species